AUAACCUGCCCCAUACCGGGGGAUAACAGUUAGAAAUGACUGCUAAUACCGCAUAAGCGCACGGAGCCGCAUGGCGCAGUGUGAAAAACUCCGGUGGUAUGGGAUGGAUCCGCGUCUGAUUAGCUAGUUGGCGGGGUAACGGCCCACCAAGGCAGCGAUCAGUAGCCGACCUGAGAGGGUGGCCGGCCACAUUGGGACUGAGACACGGCCCAAACUCCUACGGGAGGCAGCAGUGGGGAAUAUUGCACAAUGGGGGAAACCCUGAUGCAGCAACGCCGCGUGAGUGAAGAAGUAUUUCGGUAUGUAAAGCUCUAUCAGCAGGGAAGAAGAAGGACGGUACCUGACUAAGAAGCCCCGGCUAACUACGUGCCAGCAGCCGCGGUAAUACGUAGGGGGCGAGCGUUAUCCGGAUUUACUGGGUGUAAAGGGAGCGUAGACGGUUUUUCAAGUCUGAAGUGAAAGCCCGCGGCUCAACUGCGGAACGGCUUUGGAAACUGAGGGACUAGAGUGCUGGAGGGGCAGGCGGAAUUCCUGGUGUAGCGGUGAAAUGCGUAGAUAUCAGGAGGAACACCGGUGGCGAAGGCGGCCUGCUGGACAGUAACUGACGUUGAGGCUCGAAAGCGUGGGGAGCAAACAGGAUUAGAUACCCUGGUAGUCCACGCGGUAAACGAUGAAUGCUAGGUGU
rnacentral:rRNA from 1 species